AUUGAACGCUGGCGGCAGGCCUAACACAUGCAAGUCGAACGGCAGCACGGGGCAACCUGGUGGCGAGUGGCGAACGGGUGAGUAAUGCAUCGGAACGUACCUUUCAGUGGGGGAUAACGUAGCGAAAGUUACGCUAAUACCGCAUAUUCUGUGAGCAGGAAAGCAGGGGAUCGCAAGACCUUGCGCUGAUUGAGCGGCCGAUGUCAGAUUAGCUAGUUGGUGAGGUAAAGGCUCACCAAGGCGACGAUCUGUAGCGGGUCUGAGAGGAUGAUCCGCCACACUGGAACUGAGACACGGUCCAGACUCCUACGGGAGGCAGCAGUGGGGAAUUUUGGACAAUGGGGGCAACCCUGAUCCAGCCAUGCCGCGUGAGUGAAGAAGGCCUUCGGGUUGUAAAGCUCUUUCGGCCGGGAAGAAAUCGCACGGGCUAAUACCCUGUGUGGAUGACGGUACCGGAAUAAGAAGCACCGGCUAACUACGUGCCAGCAGCCGCUGUAACAC
rnacentral:rRNA from 1 species